UACGGAGGGUGCAAGCGUUAAUCGGAAUUACUGGGCGUAAAGCGUGCGCAGGCGGUUUGUUAAGUCUGUUGUGAAAUCCCCCGAGCUCAACUUGGGAAUUGCAAUGGAUACUGGCAGGCUCGAGUAUGGUAGAGGAAGGUGGAAUUCCCGGUGUAGCAGUGAAAUGCGUAGAGAUCGGGAGGAACACCAGUGGCGAAGGCGGCCUUCUGGACCAAUACUGACGCUCAUGCACGAAAGCGUGGGGAGCGAACAGG
rnacentral:rRNA from 1 species